rnacentral:lncRNA from 1 species
AUUAUCAAACAUUUUUUUUUAUCUUUUUAUUUUUACUCAAUAGUAAAAAUAAAAAAAUAAAAUAAUUUUUAAAAAUUAAAAAUUAAAAAUAAAAAAAUGUAAUCAAACGCAUCUUUAGUAAUCACCAUCCAAAUUUUAGAAUGUAUGAAACAGUUACAUUGAACUCCCACUCAGUCAUACAUACAUAAGGCCAUUGGGGCGUCUGUGAGGCCCUUGCUUGUCAUAAAUAUUGAUGAUCAAGAUGCUGGCUCGUAAUUUUUGCCCGUGUGGACAUCAUCAAGGAUGCCAAGGGCCAACUGAAGAGUGUUGACGAGG